UACACAAUAUUACAUGUUGAAUACGUAAAGCGUGUGCCUCAAUUAUAUUCGGUACGGCUAGUAAACAACGAAUAAGUGGAAAUGCAUCCAAGAAUGGCUGAAAAAAAGGAGCGACUUGGCGUAUGUAAAUUCAGUGACCCGAAAGAUAUAAUAAACUAUUUUUGGAUGAGCCCUGCAUCUUACGACAAAUGGUUAUGUUGAUGCAAUUAAACAUACCGAAGCAAAAUAGAUUACUGAGAGAGGCAAACGCAGCAGAUGAUAGAAUUAAGUGCAACUUUUAGAUUUCUGGCGACAUGCAGGCCAAACAAAUGCCUUAAGUUUAGUGCUGUAAUAUCAACAAACACGAAUAGCAAAACUGUUACUGAAACCUGUCCCGUGAUUACAGCUAUCCUGCGAUGAUAUAUUCAGCUCGCAGGAGUCAUCCGUUCACCGCCGGAUGCCAACUUCAGCUCUGGGGGUCGACCCGACUUCAGUCGGCACCAGGGCUGACCAACUACAGCGAGAACUUCCAGCAGGACCGGCCGCAGCGCGGUCUUGGUCACAGGCGCCGCCGGGGACUGACUCCUGGACUUCACGGCAACCUGACCCCACGGCGCGUGGUCCAUCCGUGACGGGACCUCGCGGACAUCGCGACUGACGGCUUCCCAGCUGCCGGUGCAGCAGGCGUCGGCAGCUGACCUCACAGCAAGUUCAUCUCAACCACAGGGCAUCGUGGCAUCAGCUACCGAGUGCGAUCAGCAGCGCGCAUUGUCGGAGAAUCUACACAGCAGCAGCCAGGCAGAGGGAUCUGCAGGGCUGGGCAGCAACAACAAGGGAGAAAUUGUAAAAAAGUUCAAUAAAUAAUUGUAAAACUCCAA